rnacentral:lncRNA from 1 species
GUAUCUUGAGGACUUAGAUUCAUCUCCUCAAUUUUUCUUUGGCUUUGGAUCUGCUAAUCUUGUUUAUUGAAAUUGGAUGGAGCAUUACAUUGUUGAUAAGUAUGGCUUGUUUGCUUGUAAUUCCUACACAUCGGUGCGUAAUCAUCACUGGCUUUGGGAUUGGAACAUUCACUAGCGUAAUGACCAAUUUGUCUGCACCAAAAAUAACGAAGUAGUCUUCCUGCACUCCCAUCAUGCAUAUUCGGUGUCGCCACUAGUAUAUAGCUACUAGGCUUGUUCCAUGAAGGAUUGAAAAAUGAUCCUGGUUGUCCCAUUGGUACAGAGGGUACUUGGUUUAAUAACGCUGGUGGGGUAACAUUAACUGACCUUGAAUAUUGGCACUGGAAUUGGCCAUUGUUUCUAACAUCGAAGAUGACUAAAUAUUAAUAAUAUCUUUUUUAUUUAUAUUUUCACCAUAUAAUCAUGUUACAACAUGAUACCGAGAACGCUCAAUAAAGCCAUUAGCUUAGCUAUGAAGUGCGAUAUCCGCUUAUUCCAACUUCACCAAGAUCAAUGCUAAAGACAACAUAUGACUCACGACACUCCAACUUUGUCAACAAGUAGUCUGAAUUCAUAUUCAGAG